rnacentral:sRNA from 1 species
AUGCAGGAACGUUAGACUAAAACCGUCACGUCGUGUGACAACGUCUAACUGACCUACGUCUUGUGGG